CCAGAAGCAAAAAAUGUAAUACUUCUUAUGCAUGAAACUAUACAGGCUGAUACAAAAGCAUAACUACCACUGAAGGCCAGAGAGAUGGAUUUAAAAGUUUCCGCCUCUUUGUUAGGCCAAGCUGCUCAUCGGAUCUAAGAAGCUGUAUCCAUCCCUGUGGUUCCAACUACCAGCUUUGUCCCACACCUCAAGUCCCUUAAGCCUCGUUGGUGGUCGACAAGUGCUUCAAGUGGAACAUGGGCAAGCCUCACUGAUCAUCUCCACCAGCUCUGGUUCAUGAGCUCCGUGCCUCGUCCUGAGCUCUUUGGCCUCUUCCAUUUACCCUUCGGCCUCAGAUAAAUCUGGCCUGGACAAUCUCUCCAUCUGACUAUAUUCAGGUGGUCACCAAGUCUCGGUCUCUCUCGAGCGAUCCUUCCCUGUCCCACUGUCACUCCCUAAAUCAGGUUCCUGUUCUCUCUUCCUUGACAAUAGUUGUCAGCACUUAAUGGGUGUCUGAGAUUGUGCUAAACUUCUCGUAGCAUUUGUUUUCUUUUAUUUCAGUGCUGGGGACAGAGCCCAGGGCCUUGCCCAUGCUAGUCACACUACAUCUUAAUGAAUUCUCUAAACAGUCCUGUAAAGUAGGCCCUGCGUGUUACAGAUGAAGACACCGAGGCUGAGCAAAUGUGUCUGUCCUGCCUAGCAUCUCAGGGCAGCAGGUGGCAGGCUGGAAUCCCGGCUGACGGGCUCCAAAGCCUCCUCCUCACCUCACAGUUCAUCACCACCAGUGCUUUCCAAGAGCCUCAGAGUGGUCUGUCUACUUCCUGGCUAGGCCACUGUCUGCAUUUUUCCAGAGUCUUCUUCUGAAAGCACAUAUCGUCCAAUCAUGUCAGUUCAGUUUCUUGCCUUAAGGUCUCACUGACUCCCCAGUUCCUCCAGGAUAAACCCCACACACCUUGACCGGGCUCACGUGGCCUGCUCUGGGACCUAGCCCACGCGGACUCCAGCCACACUGAAAUACUUCUGUCCUUGGACUGCAGGUGUGUGGGAAAACGUCACUGGGGAAACGUCAGGCGUGUAACUGAAGACGCUCCCGGGAGUGGGAGAGAGGCCCCGACGGGGGGCCUUGCCCAAGGACCACAGGCUGCGCAGCAGGAGGGCCG
rnacentral:lncRNA from 1 species